UACGUAGGGGGCUAGCGUUGUCCGGAAUUAUUGGGCGUAAAGCGCGUGUAGGCGGCCAGAUAAGUCCGCUGUGAAAUCUCGAGGCUCAACCUCGAGAUGUCGGCGGAAACCACUUGGCUAGAGUCCGGAAGAGGAGAGUGGAAUUCCCGGUGUAGCGGUGAAAUGCGCAGAUAUCGGGAAGAACACCUAUGGCGAAGGCAGCUCUCUGGGACGGUACUGACGCUGAGACGCGAAAGCGUGGGGAGCGAACAGG
rnacentral:rRNA from 1 species